GAUGAACGCUAGCGGCAGGCUUAACACAUGCAAGUCGAGGGGUAAUUCUGCAGCAAUGUGGAAACGACCGGCGCACGGGUGAGUAACGCGUAUGCAACCUUCCUUUAACUGGGACAUAGCCCGGAGAAAUUCGGAUUAAUAUCCCAUAACAUCCCGAGAACGCAUGUUUUUGGGAUUAAAGCUACGGCGGUUAAAGAUGGGCAUGCGUACCAUUAGCUUGUUGGUGAGGUAACGGCUCACCAAGGCUACGAUGGUUAGGGGGUCUGAGAGGAUGAUCCCCCA
rnacentral:rRNA from 1 species